UGGGGAAUUUUGGACAAUGGGCGAAAGCCUGAUCCAGCCAUGCCGCGUGCAGGAUGAAGGCCUUCGGGUUGUAAACUGCUUUUGUACGGAACGAAACGGUCUUUUCUAAUAAAGAAGGCUAAUGACGGUACCGUAAGAAUAAGCACCGGCUAACUACGUGCCAGCAGCCGCGGUAAUACGUAGGGUGCAAGCGUUAAUCGGAAUUACUGGGCGUAAAGCGUGCGCAGGCGGUGAUGUAAGACAGUUGUGAAAUCCCCGGGCUCAACCUGGGAACUGCAUCUGUGACUGCAUCGCUGGAGUGCGGCAGAGGGGGAUGGAAUUCCGCGUGUAGCAGUGAAAUGCGUAGAUAUGCGGAGGAACACCGAUGGCGAAGGCAAUCCCCUGGGCCUGCACUGACGCUCAUGCACGAAAGCGUGGGGAGCAAACA
rnacentral:rRNA from 1 species